GACGAACGCUGGCGGCGUGCCUAAUACAUGCAAGUAGAACGCACAGUUUAUACCGUAGCUUGCUACACCAUAGACUGUGAGUUGCGAACGGGUGAGUAACGCGUAGGUAACCUGCCUGGUAGCGGGGGAUAACUAUUGGAAACGAUAGCUAAUACCGCAUAAUAUUAAUUAUUGCAUGAUAAUUAAUUGAAAGGUGCAAUUGCACCACUACCAGAUGGACCUGCGUUGUAUUAGCUAGUAGGUGAGGUAACGGCUCACCUAGGCGACGAUACAUAGCCGACCUUGGAAGGGUGUCGGGCACACUGGGACCUGAGAACGGGCCCAGCCUCUACGGGGAGCAGCAGUAGGGGAACUUUGGGAAAUGACGGAAGGCUUGACGGAGAAAGCCGGGGGGAGGAAGGAGGUUUUCGGAUCGUAAAGCUCUGUUGUAAGAGAAGAACGGGUGUGAGAGUGGAAAGUUCACACUGUGACGGUAUCUUACCAGAAAGGGACGGCUAACUACGUG
rnacentral:rRNA from 1 species